rnacentral:rRNA from 1 species
UACGAAGGGGGCUAGCGUUGUUCGGAAUUACUGGGCGUAAAGCGCACGUAGGCGGGUCUUUAAGUCAGGGGUGAAAUCCUGGAGCUCAACUCCAGAACUGCCUUUGAUACUGAAGAUCUUGAGUUCGGGAGAGGUGAGUGGAACUGCGAGUGUAGAGGUGAAAUUCGUAGAUAUCGGGAGGAACACCAGUGGCGAAGGCGGCGAUCUGGGAAGAUACUGACGCUGAGGUGCGAAAGCGUGGGGAGCAAACAGG